CUCAACUUGAGAGUUUGAUCCUGGCUCAGAACGAACGCUGGCGGCAGGCUUAACACAUGCAAGUCGAGCGCCCCGCAAGGGGAGCGGCAGACGGGUGAGUAACGCGUGGGAAUCUACCCAUCCCUACGGAACAACUCCGGGAAACUGGAGCUAAUACCGUAUACGCCCUUCGGGGGAAAGAUUUAUCGGGGAUGGAUGAGCCCGCGUUGGAUUAGCUAGUUGGUGGGGUAAAGGCCUACCAAGGCGACGAUCCAUAGCUGGUCUGA
rnacentral:rRNA from 1 species